rnacentral:rRNA from 1 species
GAUGAACGCUGGCGGCGUGCCUAAUACAUGCAAGUCGAGCGAACCGACGAGGAGCUUGCUCCUCUGACGUUAGCGGCGGAGGGGUGAGUAACACGUGGAUAACCUACCUCUAAGACUGGGAUAACUUCGGGGAACCGGCGCUAAUACCGGAUAAUAUAUUGAACCGCAUGGAUCACUAGUUAAAGACGGUUUUGGUGUCACUUAUAGAUGGAUCCGCCGCGCAUUAGUUAGUUGGUAAGGUAACGGCUUACCAAGGCAACGAUGCGUAGCCGACCUGAGAGCGUGAUUGGCCACACUGUAAGUGAGACACGGUACAGACUCCUGCGGGAGGCAGCAGUAGAGAAUCUUACGCAAUGGACGAGAGCCGGACGGAGCAACACCGCGUGAGUGAUGAAGGUCUUCGGAUCGGUAAGCGCUGUUAUUAGUGAAGAACAAAUGUGUAAGUAACUAGGCAGAUCUUGACGGUACCUGAUCAGAAAGCCACGGCUAACUACGUG